rnacentral:rRNA from 1 species
AUUGGGGAAUUUUCCGCAAUGGGCGAAAGCCUGACGGAGCAACGCCGCGUGAGGGAUGAAGGCCUCUGGGCUGUAAACCUCUUUUCUCAAGGAAGAAGAUCUGACGGUACUUGAGGAAUAAGCCACGGCUAAUUCCGUGCCAGCAGCCGCGGUAAUACGGGAGUGGCAAGCGUUAUCCGGAAUUAUUGGGCGUAAAGCGUCCGCAGGCGGCCUUGUAAGUCUGUCGUUAAAGCGUGGAGCUUAACUCCAUUUCAGCGAUGGAAACUACAAGGCUUGAGUGUGGUAGGGGCAGAGGGAAUUCCCGGUGUAGCGGUGAAAUGCGUAGAUAUCGGGAAGAACACCAGUGGCGAAGGCGCUCUGCUGGGCCAUAACUGACGCUCAUGGACGAAAGCCAGGGGAGCGAAAGGGAUUAGAUACCCCUGUAGUCAAU